GCGUGCAGGAUGACGGCCCUAUGGGUUGUAAACUGCUUUUGCGAGGAAGAAAACGGUGCUAUUUAUAGCAUUUUGACGGUACCUCGAGAAUAAGCACCGGYUAACUCCGUGCCAGCAGCCGCGGUAAUACGGAGGGUGCRAGCGUUAUCCGGAAUCACUGGGUUUAAAGGGUGCGUAGGCGGCAUUAUAAGUCAGAGGUGAAAGCCCGUCGCUUAACGAUGGAAUUGCCUUUGAUACUGUAGUGCUUGAAUCAAGUUGAGGCUGGCGGAAUGUGGCAUGUAGCGGUGAAAUGCAUAGAUAUGCCAUAGAACACCAAUUGCGAAGGCAGCUGGCUGGACUUGAAUUGACGCUGAGGCACGAAAGCGUGGGGAGCGAACAGGAUUAGAUACCCUGGUAGUCCACGCCCUAAACGAUGUUUACUCGUUCCAGGCACUGGUUGUCUGGGACCAAGCGAAAGCGUUAAGUAAACCACCUGGGGAGUACGUCGGCAACGAUGAAACUCAAAGAAUUGACGG
rnacentral:rRNA from 1 species